CUUAAAAGUCAAACUCAGGUCUUACACCAGCAAGAUAUUCAGAGCUGAUAUUUCACAGCUGUGUUAACUGUUUCUCAGAUUUGGACUCCUAGCCAAUUGUAGAGGCAAGAAAGAAGGGGAACAUAGAAGAAGGAGACCAAAAAGUCUGAAGGACAGUGAUUGCAGAAGAAGAAGAAAUUAUUCUAGAAAAUCAAGAGCAGAGUUUAUUGAGGACAAGAAAGAAAACAAGACAGCAGAAAAAACAUAUCACUGAAACAUCCAUCUACUUUCAAUAGAAGCAGGAUAGCUCCCAG